UACGAAGGGGGCGAGCGUUGUUCGGAUUUACUGGGCGUAAAGGGCGCGCAGGCGGCGCAUUUUGUCAGGCGUGAAAGCCCCGGGCUUAACCUGGGAACUGCGUUUGAUACGGAUGGGCUAGAGUUCGGGAGAGGAGAGUGGAAUUCCCAGUGUAGAGGUGAAAUUCGUAGAUAUUGGGAAGAACACCGGUGGCGAAGGCGGCUCUCUGGACCGAGACUGACGCUGAGGCGCGAAAGCGUGGGGAGCGAACAGG
rnacentral:rRNA from 1 species